ACCAUGGUGCAGAUAGCAAAAUCAUUGAUGAUUAAAGAUGAAUCCAUCAUCAAAGUAAGGAAUUCAUUACAAACGAUUGAUAGAUCGGUAAUAAAUCUGUGGAAGAAUCAAGACUAUUAAUAUAGGUUGUCACGCUUGUCGGAAUACAUAAUUAAUCGGUUAGAAGACGAAACGAAAGCAGAAAAUUAACACGUCUAGACGUCUAGAAACUCCAAUUUAUCACCUCCAAAUUCAACAGUAAAUUGGAGACGAGGAUGAAAUUCAUUAAAUUUACACAAUAAUAAGUUAAUAUCCGACGGAUCAACCGCCAGGCACACAUCAUCCACGUAUCUGUAAUAAAAAGGAAGUUAAACGACGACAACGCUAGCGACUCAAGCCUUCUGAUAACUAGGUCCGCCACAAUAGGUAGAGAACAUGCUCUGGAAAUAAAACACCACUGUUCGUUAAUGCAAUCAAUCGCUAUAUGUCAAGAGGGACGUUUGUAAAUAACGAAAUAACAUCAAG